rnacentral:rRNA from 1 species
AUACGGAGGGUGCAAGCGUUAAUCGGAAUUACUGGCGUAAAGCGCGCGUAGGCGGAUAUUUAAGUCUCAUGUGAAAGCCCUGGGCUCAACCUGGGAACUGCAUGGGAUACUGGGUAUCUAGAAUACAGUAGAGGGUAGUGGAAUUUCAGGUGUAGCGGUGAAAUGCGUAGAGAUCUGAAGGAACAUCAGUGGCGAAGGCGACUACCUGGACUGAUAUUGACGCUGAGGUGCGAAAGCGUGGGGAGCAAACGGGAUUAGAUACCCUUGUAGUCC